UACAGAGGGUGCGAGCGUUAAUCGGAAUUACUGGGCGUAAAGCGCACGUAGGUGGCGACGUAAGUCGGGUGUGAAAGCCCCGGGCUCAACCUGGGAAUUGCAUUCGAGACUGCAUUGCUGGAGUACGGAAGAGGAAGGCGGAAUUCCCGGUGUAGCGGUGAAAUGCGUAGAUAUCUGGAGGAACACCGGUGGCGAAGGCGGCUCUCUGGAACAAUCCUGACGCUGAGGUGCGAAAGCUAGGGGAGCAAACGGG
rnacentral:rRNA from 1 species